rnacentral:RNase_P_RNA from 1 species
AGGACUGCAAAAGGUGAUCGCUCUUUUCCUUGAGAAAAGAGAGGAAAGUCCGGACUCCACAGGGCAGGAUGGUGGGUAACACCCACCGGGGGCGACCCCAGGGAAAGUGCCACAGAAAAUAUACCGCCAGACCUUCUGUCUGGUAAGGGUGAAAAGGCGAGGUAAGAGCUCACCGCCAGAAUGGUGACAUUCUGGGCAGGGCAAACCCCAUCCGGAGCAAGGCCAAAUAAGAGAGGUAUGAAGUGGCCCGCUUCCUUUGCCUCUCGGGUAGGCUGCUAGAGUCUUGAAGCAAUUCAAGGCCCAGAUAAAUGAUCACCCCUUUUCGAAAAUUCUGAAAAGGACAGAAUCCGGCUUAUUUUGCAGUCCUUCCU